GUAACGCGUAUCCAACCUCCCCACUAGUAGGGCGACAGCCCGGCGAAAGUCGGAUUAAUUCCUAUGCAGUCCAGAGAGGACAUCUGACCUGGACGAAAGAUUCAUCGCUAUGGGAUGGGGAUGCGUCUGAUUAGGUUGCAGGCGGGGUAACGGCCCACCUGGCCGACGAUCAGUAGGGGUUCUGAGAGGAAGGUCCCCCACAUUGGAACUGAGACACGGUCCAAACUCCUACGGGAGGCAGCAGUGAGGAAUAUUGGUCAAUGGACGGAAGUCUGAACCAGCCAAGUAGCGUGCAGGAAUGACGGCCCUAUGGGUUGUAAACUGCUUUUAUCAGGGGAUAAAGUGAGGUAUGUAUACCUUUUUGCAUGUACCUGAUGAAUAAGGACCGGCUAAUUCCGUGCCAGCCGCUGC
rnacentral:rRNA from 1 species